GCAUGGCAGAAUACUGUGUUCUUUCGUCAAUAAUUUACACAGCCAGACACCAUGCAAAAGUAAAUGUUCAUUUUAAAAUAACUGAUGGUAUGCUAUUUUUACAUAGUGUAUCAUUAAAAGUGAAUACAGAU
ensembl:snoRNA